GCCGCCAUAACUCAGUUGGUAGAGUGCGUGGCUGUUAACCACGAUGUCACAGGUUCGAGCCCUGUUGGCGGCG
rnacentral:tRNA from 1 species